rnacentral:rRNA from 1 species
UGGGGAAUAUUGCACAAUGGGCGCAAGCCUGAUGCAGCCAUGCCGCGUGUAUGAAGAAGGCCUUCGGGUUGUAAAGUACUUUCAGCGGGGAGGAAGGGAGUAAAGUUAAUACCUUUGCUCAUUGACGUUACCCGCAGAAGAAGCACCGGCUAACUCCGUGCCAGCAGCCGCGGUAAUAUGGAGGGUGCAAGCGUUAAUCGGAAUUACUGGGCGUAAAGCGCACGCAGGCGGUUUGUUAAGUCAGAUGUGAAAUCCCCGGGCUCAACCUGGGAACUGCAUCUGAUACUGGCAAGCUUGAGUCUCGUAGAGGGGGGUAGAAUUCCAGGUGUAGCGGUGAAAUGCGUAGAGAUCUGGAGGAAUACCGGUGGCGAAGGCGGCCCCCUGGACGAAGACUGACGCUCAGGUGCGAAAGCGUGGGGAGCAAACAGG